GGGGGUGUAGCUCAGUUGGCUAGAGCGCUUGCAUGGCAUGCAAGAGGUCAGGGGUUCAAUUCCCCUCACCUCCAUCA
rnacentral:tRNA from 2 species